GUUUGCUGUUUUUCUUUGUUCAGUUCGACGGCUCUGGGUUUGAAGUGAGGAUCUGGAACACCUCCUAUUUUCUGGACCAGUUGACCACAACAUUAAAUUAUUUUAACACCUGUCACAUGGAAGAAGAGAACUGUUCAGCAUGGCCUGAGCAGAACUCCUGCAUCUCUAUUGACAACACCACAGUGACCCCUACUGCUGAGGGAAUGACACUGCCCUCUGCUGAACUAAUAGAUAAAUUAAUGAACGAAAGAAAGAUCUUGAUCCUAGUUCUCGUCUUCAGUGUCUUAAUCAUUGUGCUAGUAGUGCUUUGCAAUCUAAAGCCAUGGAAAAGAUGCAACCCACAUCGCCACCCAGAGAUUUCUGGUGUUGGAGAGACUGAUCCAACAAACUCAUUUCUAACAAAUAACACCUCUGUGUGAAAAAGCGAGUUUCAACCCCCCCAAAAAAAACAAUUAGUUUGUGGAUCACAAACGCUGUGUUUCCUACUGUGGACGCGCGAGGGAGUGGGUUGUUCGCAGCACCCUAGUGUCUCAUUGGACACAG